UGAUAUCUAUGUGAUAUACUGUAAUCAGAAGUUCCUAUAGGCAAGUUAUCUGCCCUUUGCAUACAGUUAUUCCCUUCCCAUUUCACUAGCCUUCCCCAGUAGUUAUACAAAGUUAUUACUGUCCAAAGAAAAAUAAAGUAAAGAAAAUACAUCAUAUAAUUUGAAAGUUACAACCAAGGAAAGCCUGGUUUAGACUUCUUGUUGGAUUUAUGAAGUAAACCAACUCCAAAGAUCAAUGUUUCAAAUCCUUUCUCUCAUUUGGACGUGUCAGAGUUCCCUAAGAGCCUCACACAGACUCCGGACAGUGUUCACACCCAAAUGCAUUGCAGGGUCAAGACAUAGUGUAGUGUGGAAGGGGCCAGUCGUCAAGUGUCCAAGUUCAGAGGGAACUCAAGGUCCCAAGGCAAGGCUCACAAGAGGGGAGCAGAACCUAGGAACUAAGAGGGAGAGUGCAAGUUCAGAAAUAAAAUUCUGAAAGAAGAAAAAAAAAAAGGAAAAGGGGAAUAACUUAAAAUCAGUACACAUAAGGGUAUAGGGGAAUGCGGAAUAUGCAAGAAUACAAGAAAAAUAGGCUGAUGGGCAUACCCAACAAUGGGAUAUGAUGGUACACCAUCCAUCCUGUUUAGAGGUUAAAACCUCAUUGGUUCAAAACUCAGUUCAUGGACAACAACUCAUGUUGCCAUGCCCUAAGUCACCACUCACAAACACAUAUAGGUAACGAGAUAGGGAGCAAAGAUCCAUAGUAGAAACAAGCAGUAUAACAUAGAACAUACUACAUUAAAUAUUUAACUUUACAUAAACAGUAAAGUAGACAUGGAUAUAAUGACUGCAAGUAAACACAUUGGGGUGAUGCUGGAACUUAAAUUAGAAUUAGGACAUACCAAUUUCAUGAAUACAAAUAGGAAAAAGAAGUGACCUUGUGAAAGUUAGAGUGCAGACAAGAGAGCAUUCUUAUGAGAGAGUAAGAGUUUAGAAGAAAUGUGAAUUGUAGUAGUGGAUGAUUAAAAUCGUGUGUAGUGUGAAAGAAAAGAGUCAUGUAUUACAAUGUGAAAGUCAUGAGAAAAUAAGGUGAGAAAAUAAUUGAAGACUAACUGUAAAUCAAUUACAUAAGACUCCAUUUAAUAAGGAAUUCAACAUCAAAUGGGUAAAACCAUUUAAGGAAAGGAUUUAAAUAAACACUUUGUGCAGAGUAGUAAACUAGGGGCAAAUUCACAAAGGUUAUUUAAGGACAAAAUCUCUGAAACACACGGUUGCACAAUUUAAUGAAAGAAAACCAAUUAACAGUCAGGAAUUCUGAAGCCAGAGAUUUGUAUGAAUGAACCAAGUCAGAAAGAUGGGAAAGAUUUUUUAACUUAGGAAAAUCAACAAACAAAUCAAUUAAAGUCUUAUAAAAGGAAUUCAGAAUCAGUCUGAAAACCCUUUUUGAAGAAAGAUUUAUCACAUACAAAAGCAUACAGACAUGUUAAACAUGAAAGACUUGUCCCGCCCUUGUAAACGUGUUUAGCAAAAGGUUUGCAUUGUAUGAAAACACGGUGUAAACUCAAUUUAGGGAUCAAAGUUAGUCUGACAGAGUUAGGGGUUUCAAAAUGAAACCUUAGUUUAAGCAAACCCUAAAGCAAGGGUGAGAGGCAGGCCAUCACACUAAAAUCAUAUUCAGAAGUUUUAAAACAAAGGACAAGCUCUUUCAACACAAAACUUACGAAGAAUAUGGUAGUAAAGUAACAUGCAAUCACAGCAGAAGGAUUAAAAAAAACAUAAUGGUAAUACUGAUACGAACAGUAGAAAAGCAUGCUUAAGAAAGACCUAAACAGGGCUCAGUAGGAGACGAAUCAAGAAAUUUAAAACUUAGCAGGAAAGUACAGUAGAAAAGUAUAGUAGGAUAAACAUAUAAGAGCAUGAUAAAAGGAAAACACAAGAACAUAGUAAAAGAACGAGAUAUAGAAAACACAUCAGAGGGACACAAGAACACAACAGGGUCAUAAGAGACCACAAUAUAAGAAAACAUAGCAAGAGAAGCAUAUAAGGAACAUGAUACAAGAACACAAUAGAGACAAAUACACAUAAACAACAAAGAAAAAAUCAUAGAAACAUUUGAGCAUUUCAGAAACCCUAGAACGAAAAGAAGCAAUUUUUUGAAAGUAAUUUUUUGAAAACAAAUCUAGGAAAAGCAUUUGAAAACUCAAAUAGAGCAUAGAUACACAACAAAUCUAGAAAAAUCGGAAGAAACCUCAAAGGGUUUUAAAGAACCCUAAAAUGAGAAAGGUUUUGAAGAAGGUCAUCGAUCGGAGUCGGAGAAGCUAGAAUCAGGCUCAGAAGACCAGGAUAUGCCGGAGCAAGGCCGGUGAUGGCCGUGAAAUCUUGAGCCGGCAAAGGUCUAGAUGAAGAUCUUCGAGGUUUGGCCUUAAAUAUUAAAGAAUCAAGCAUAUAGGAGUAACAGGAGGUGAGUAUAAGACUACCAUGGCGGGAGAAACUAUGGUUUCCAGUGGGUUUCGAGGUGGAGGCUAUUAAAGGCGGCUAGGGUUAAGGAGGGUUAGAGAGAAUGUUAGAGAGAAGAGGGGUUUCAAG
rnacentral:lncRNA from 1 species